UACGUAGGGGGCUAGCGUUGUCCGGAAUCAUUGGGCGUAAAGCGCGUGUAGGCGGUCCUGCAAGUCCGCUGUGAAAGUCGGGGGCUCAACCCUCGGAUGCCGGUGGAUACUGCCGGGCUUGAGUACGGAAGAGGCGAGUGGAAUUCCUGGUGUAGCGGUGAAAUGCGCAGAUAUCAGGAGGAACACCAAUUGCGAAGGCAGCUCGCUGGGACGUUACUGACGCUGAGACGCGAAAGCGUGGGGAGCAAACAGG
rnacentral:rRNA from 1 species